rnacentral:rRNA from 1 species
GCGGUGUCGCGUAUAGGCGUAACCGUCCGAUGUUGGCAAUGUCUGAAGUUCGCUGGAAGGCAACUUCCCAGUGAGGGUGUUAGGCCCGUUCGGAUUGCGCUAAUGUUGGUUGGGUGCGUCUUGGAGUAGAGUUGCUUGGAAGUGCAGCUCGAAGCGGGUGUUAUACCACAUCCAAGGCUAAAUAUGACCACUUAUCCGAUAGCAAACAAGUACCGUGAGGGAAAGUUGCAAAGUACUUUGAAGAGAGAGUUAAAGAGGACGUGAAACUGGUAGUGGUGAAGCAGAUAGCGUUGACGACGCCGGCGGUAUUCAGUAUUGGCGCACUGUGAUCCUUCUUGCGUGUAUUGCUCUGCAAUGCCACAGGGAGGUUGUCGCGGUGUGUUCGGUGCGGUCUUGCUGUCGGUAUACGUUGAGAUGCUCGGGUGCCCCUGCGAACCUUACGUCGUGUGGCCCACUUCGGUGGUAACUUGCGUGUGAGGUGCGUGGAUGUGGUGCCUGGGUGGCUCUUGUGUGUAAACCCCGCCUUUGCGUUCGCUGCUUGUGUGCUUAUUGUCGGCGUCGGAUGAAGCAUUUAUGUUUCGCUGGCUGUUGGCGGUAGGCGCGUGAGUGGCGUGACGUCGGGUUUACUCUCGGCGUUGUGGAAGUCAAUCACCUAUCUGUCCCGUCUUGAAACACGGACCAAGAAGUCUAGUACUUGCGCGAGUCACUGAGUGCGAAAACUCACUGGCGAAAUGAAAGUGAAGGCCUGUUUUCACAGUCUGAUACGUGAUCCGUGGCUUGUCUGCGGCGCAGCGUAGCCCCAUGUCGUCUGCAUGCAGUGAUGUGGAGGUAGAGCGUAAGUACUGGGACCCGAAAGAUGGUGAACUAUGCCUGAGCAGGACGAAGCCAGAGGAAACUCUGGUGGAAGUCCGAAGCGGUUCUGACGUGCAAAUCGAUCGCCAGACUUGGGUAUAGGGGCGAAAGACUAAUCGAACCAUCUAGUAGCUGGUUCCCUCCGAAGUUUCCCCCAGGAUAGCUGGAGUACGUAGAGUUGCUAUACCUUGUAAAGUUAAUGAUUAGAGGAUCGGGGGACGAAAUGUCCUCAACCUAUUAUCAAACUUGUAAUGGGUAUGAAGCUGCGAUUGCUUUGUUGAACCGUGGCAGCGAGAAAGUGCUCCAAGUGGGCCAUUUUUGGUAAGCAGAACUGGCGAUGCGGGAUGAACCGAACGUUGGGUUAAGGUGCCUAACUUCUUGCUCAUGAGACCCCAGGAAAGGUGUUAGUUGAUAUUGACAGCAGGACGGUGGCCAUGGAAGUCGGUAUCCGCUAAGGAGUGUGUAACAACUCACCUGCCGAAUCAACUAGCCCUGAAAAUGGAUGGCGCUUGAGCGGGAGACCUAUACCCAACCGUUGUUGGCUUGUACGAAAUGGUGACGUCUGGCCUCAACGAGUAGGAGGGUGCAGCGGUGUGCGUUGAAGGCUUAGGGCGUGAGCCCGGCUGGAGCCGCCGUUGGUACAGAUCUUGGUGGUAGUAGCAAAUAUGAAAGUUAAAAACCUUCAGACUGAAGUGGAGAAGGGUUCCGCGAGAACCGUAAUGGUUCGCGGGUUAGUCGGCCCUAAGCCAGCGCCGAAAGGCUUGUUGAUUGUGAGGAUGGAGCUUGCUUCUUUCUCGAUUGGCGAAAGGGAACCAGGUUAAUAUUCCUGGACCGAGAUAAAGGUUUGGUAUUCGCAAGAAUGCCCACAGCGGUGACGCUUUCGAACUCGACGACGCUGCGUACUGUCCGAGCUAGAGAUAUCUUCUCUAGUUAAGGAACGGAACCCCUUGAAUCGGCCCAGCCGGAGAUAGGGGCGUUGUUUCCGUAAAGCACCGCGGUUUCUGUGGUGUCUCGUGUGCAGUGCGCGGCCCUUGAAAAGGCGAGGGAGUAGUGUGACCUUUACUCGACCGUACCCAUAUCCGCAGCAGGUCUCCAAGGUUUGCAGCCUCUAGUCGAUAGAAUAAAGUAGAUACGGGAAGUCGGCAAACUUGAGCCGUAACUUCGGGAAAAGGCUUGGCUCUGAGGACCGAGUCGUUCGGGCUUUGCUAUGAAGCUUGCGCGGCUGUGGCUUGGUUGGAUUCGACCUCGGUUGCGUCCGACCGAUGCUGCGGCUGCCUUGUGGACUUGCUUAGCUAUGUGCAUGCGUCUUCGGGCGUGUGUACUUCGGGCGGCACGCUUGAACGGUCAUCUCAGAACUGGUACGGACUCGGGGAAUCCGACUGUCUAAUUAAAACAAAGGAGAUAGAUGGUCCUUGUGGUCGUUGACUAUCUGUGAUUUCUGCCCAGUGCUCUGAAUGUUAAAGUGGAGUAAUUCGCUUAAGCGCGGGUAAACGGCGGGAGUAACUAUGACUCUCUUAAGGUAGCCAAAUGCCUCGUCAUCUAAUUAGUGACGCGCAUGAAUGGAUUAACGAGAUUCCCACUGUCCCUAUCUACUAUCUAGCGAAACCACAGCCAAGGGAACGGGCUUGGCAAAUACAGCGGGGAAAGAAGACCCUGUUGAGCUUGACUCUAGUUUGACUCUGUGACGAGUCUUGAGAGGUGUAGUAUAAGUGGGAGGCUUCGGCCGCAAUUGAAAUACCACUACUUUCAUUGAUUCUUUACUUAUUCGGUAAUACGAGGAUUGAGCUUUCGGGCUCUUCCUUCUUGUGUUAAGCGAUGGCACGUGGUGUCGUUGUGACUCGGACCGAAGACACUGUCAGACUGGGAGUUUGACUGGGGCGGUACAUCUAUCAAACUGUAACGUAGGUGUCCUAAGGCGUGCUCAGAGAGGACGGAAACCUCUCGUAGAGUAAAAGGGCAAAAGCCCGCUUGAUCUUGAUUUUCAGUACUAAUACAGACCGCGAAAGCGGGGCCUAUCGAUCCUUAAAAUCUUGAUGGUUUCAAGUUUGAGGUGUCAGAAAAGUUACCACAGGGAUAACUGGCUUGUGGCAGCCAAGCGUCCAUAGCGACGUUGCUUUUUGAUCCUUCGAUGUCGGCUCUUCCUAUCAUUGCGAAGCAGAAUUCUCAAAGUGUUGGAUUGUUCACCCACUAAUAGGGAACGUGAGCUGGGUUUAGACCGUCGUGAGACAGGUUAGUUUUACCCUACUGUAGACGCGUCGUUAAGACAGUAAUCUUAUUCAGUACGAGAGGAACCGUAAAUUCAGACAAUUGGUUCAUGCGGCUAUCCGAGAGGAUAAUGCUGCGAAGCUAUCAUCUGCGGGAUUAUCACUGAAAGCCUCUAAGUGAGAACCCCAUCUGGUCAGGUAUUUACCGAUAAUGUUGCUUCCCGGUGUCGGGAGGCACUCUUAAGUGGUCGCAAGGCCACUGCUUAUGCCCUAUUCGAUGACCUUGCCUGCUCGGGGAAUCCGGGCAGGUUGUCAAUGCCGGAUCACUCCGGUUCAAUGUCGGGGCGCAAGAUCGAUUGCAUACGACUUUCUUACUGGUCAAGGUGUUGUAUUCAGUAGAGC